rnacentral:rRNA from 1 species
GAACGAAGGCUGGCGGUUCGCCUAACAGAAGAAAGUCGAACGCCUGUAGCAAUACAGGAGUGGCGGACGGGUGUCUCACACGUGGGAAUCUACCCAGUAGCCUGGAAUAACCGCGGGAAACUGCGGCUAAUACCGGAUACGCCCCGAGGGGGAAAGGAGCAAUCCACUAUUGGAGGAGCCCGCGCCCGAUUAGCUAGUUGGUGAGGUAAUGGCUCACCAAGGCGAUGAUCGGUAGCUGGUCUGAGAGGACGACCAGCCACACUGGGACUGAGACACUGCCCAGACUCCUACGGGAGGCAGCAGUGGG